rnacentral:rRNA from 1 species
UACGUAGGGGGCAAGCGUUGUCCGGAAUCACUGGGCGUAAAGGGCGCGUAGGCGGCCUGAUAAGUAGGGGGUGAAAUCCUGCGGCUUAACCGCAGGGCUGCCUUCUAAACUGUCAGGCUAGAGCACGGUAGAGGCAGAUGGAAUUCCCGGUGUAGCGGUGAAAUGCGUAGAUAUCGAGAGGAACACCUGCGGCGAAAGGCGGGUCUCUGGGCCGAUACUGACGCUGAGGAGCGAAAGCAUGGGGAGCGAACGGG